rnacentral:misc_RNA from 1 species
GUUUGAUUCUUGCUCCACCAAAGUGACUAUCUUGGGGCUAAGCGACUUUAUCAUCCUAAUGAGACCAUCUCUAGGGUUAUUCACGUCAACGCUCUCAUCAGGGGUGUGGUGAAGUUGCAAAGGAAAGUUUACAGCCAGAGCCUCACCAGGCCUUACAUCAAGCAUAUCCCAAGUGAUUUCCGGAGCAAAAACUGGCACUGCAUGAAACUCAACAGCAAUGUUGAAUUCCUCAGAAAUUGCUGAUAGCCGUCUGGCAACUGCAGCCAAUCCAUCUCCCCGAGCGUACUGUGAAACUGGAUCAUCAAUUCCUGUAAUACGUACGUAGGGGGCACCACCGGGUCGUGCUGCAAGAGCUUGUAAGAGAGUCAUCCAUUGGGUCCCCUGUGCAAUUUGGAAGUCUAUAAUGUGGAUGCGAUCUUCAUUUCUGCAUGCUUCUACUAUGGCACCAUUUGCAGCCAUGUAGCCGAACUUUAGGUAAGGACAUAUUUCAUAGAGGAUAUACAUGUAGGAGAACAAGUCCUUACCAGCCGGCUCCUUACACUUUAAACUCCUGUAUAUGGUAGUUCCAGAUAACUCCUUUCUUGCUACGAGGCCUUCUACAAUGUAAGCACCAAGACGCUGGAUGGGAUCUCCAGUAACGGACACAACACUCCUUGCCUUAGCAACCAGUAUUUCAAAAUCAUCUAGCUUGUUUUCAGCAAGAGCUCUGGCGCAUGCUAUAAGCAGCUGCUUCAGAUUGCUAGACGGAACACCCUGCAAGGGCAAGUCCUCCAUUACAUUGUCUCGCUUAUCACUUUGAAUUCCAUUAAGGAUUGAAACUACUGAUUGUUGAUGACGCACAACUUGGGCUUCCUUGUUCCACGCUUUAUACCUCUGACCUGAUGUUUGUGCCCCCAUAUUUUCACCAAGAUAAGGGCUGGAUUUCAUUGCCUCUUUGUCUGGCCCCAUUAAAGCAGACUCCAACUGCAGCAGAGUAUGUUUCAUGUUCCGACUGUAAGGAGCUUCUGGAAGAUGAUCUUCCGAGGGGCUUGGUCGAUGGAAAUAUUGGUUAUAAUCCAGUGAGGAACCACUUGAAGAACUAGCACCUGAAAGAUUCUCUGUACAGCUGGGCUGCUCCUGGUAAUCACUUACUGUGUUGAAGGUCUCAGAGUUAAAAUAGUUCACAAGUGGCGAAUUUCCUGAAUCAAAUUUCGAUGUACCAAAUGGUCUAUUCUCUAGAGGACUAACAGUAGGGCAUGAAGAAUACGACAAAUCACUACCGGUCACACCAUAAGCAACCAAAUGGUGCGAGUCCAUACUAUACGGCUGUCAUUAGCUGCUCUAUGCGCAAACUCUUUCUCACUAACACUUAAUAUCUGCUUCACCGAAAUCCACCUGAUAUAAUCUGCAGAAGGA